GACAGAGGGUGCAAACGUUGUUCGGAAUUACUGGGCGUAAAGCGCGUGUAGGCUGCUUCGCAAGUCGGGUGUGAAAGCCCUGGGCUCAACCUAGGAAGUGCACUCGAAACUGCGAAGCUUGAGUCCUGGAGAGGAAGGCGGAAUUCUCGGUGUAGAGGUGAAAUUCGUAGAUAUCGAGAGGAACACCGGUGGCGAAGGCGGCCUUCUGGACAGUGACUGACGCUGAGACGCGAAAGCGUGGGGAGCGAUCCGG
rnacentral:rRNA from 1 species